GUGCCAGCAGCCGCGGUAAUACAGAGGUCUCAAGCGUUGUUCGGAUUCAUUGGGCGUAAAGGGUGCGCAGGCUGUUGUGUAAGUCGGAUGUGAAAUCCCGGGGCUCAACCCCGGAACUGCAUUCGAUACUGCAUGACUAGAGGACUGGAGAGGAGAUUGGAAUUUACGGUGUAGCAGUGAAAUGCGUAGAUAUCGUAAGGAAGACCAGUGGCGAAGGCGAAUCUCUGGACAGUUCCUGACGCUCAUGCACGAAGGCUAGGGGAGCAAACGGGAUUAGAAACCCCCGUAGUCC
rnacentral:rRNA from 1 species